AUGGCGGCGGGUGCGACGACGAUGGAUGGCACCGUGAAUCUCUCCGGCGAGCCGGCGGUGAGGGGCAAGACGGGGGGUUGGAGGGCGUGCCCCUUCAUCCUGGCCAACGAGUGCUGCGAGCGCCUCGCCUACUACGGCAUGAGCUCCAAUCUGGUCAACUACAUGAUCGACCGCCUCCACCAGGGCAACGCCGCCGCCGCCACCAACGUCAACAACUGGUCCGGCACCUGCUACGUCAUGCCCCUCCUCGGCGCCUUCAUCGCCGACGCCUACCUCGGCCGCUUCCGCACCAUCGCCGCCUUCAUGUCCCUCUACAUCGCCGGCCUCGCCCUCCUCACCCUCACCGCCACCGUGCCCGGCCUCCGCCCGCCCGACUGCGCCGGCUGCAAGCCCGCCGCCGGCCAGACCGCCGCCUUCUUCACCGCGCUCUACCUCAUCGCCGUCGGCACCGGCGGCAUCAAGCCCUGCGUCUCCUCCUUCGGCGCCGACCAGUUCGACGACGCCGACCCGCGCGAGAUGCGCAGCAAGAGCUCCUUCUUCAACUGGUUCUACAUGUCCAUCAACGUCGGCGCCCUCGUCGCCUCCUCGGUGCUCGUCUGGGUCCAGAUGAACGUCGGCUGGGGCUGGGGAUUCGGCAUCCCCGCCGCCGCCAUGGCCGUCGCCGUCGUCAGCUUCCUCAUGGGGAGCAGGCUCUACAGGUACCAGAAGCCCGGGGGCAGCCCGCUCACCAGGAUGCUGCAGGUCGUGGUCGCCGCCUGCAGGAAGUCGCACGUUCCUCUCCCCGCCGACCCCUCCCUGCUGCACGAGGUGGCGUCGCCGGACGGCAAGGCCGCCAUCGAGGGCAGCAGGAGGCUGGAGCACACGGAGCAGCUGAGGUGCCUGGACAAGGCCGCCGUGGUGACGACGCCCGGCGGCGCUGAAGAAGAGGACGAGGGCCCGUGGAGGCUGUGCACGGUGACGCAGGUGGAGGAGCUCAAGAGCAUGGUGCGGCUGCUGCCGGUGUGGGCGAGCGGCAUCGUCAUGUCGGCGGUGUACAGCCAGAUGAGCACCAUGUUCGUGCUCCAGGGCAACACCCUCGACCCGCGCAUGGGCGCCUCCUUCAAGAUCCCCGCCGCCUCGCUCUCCAUCUUCGACACCAUCGCCGUCAUCGUCUGGGCGCUGGCCUACGACCGGCUCAUCGUGCCCGCCGCGCGCCGGAUCACGGGCCACCCGCGCGGCUUCACGCAGCUCCAGCGCAUGGGCAUCGGCCUGGUGAUAUCCAUCUUCUCCAUGGUGGCCGCCGGGGUGCUGGAAGUUGUCAGGCUCCACGUCGCCGCCACACACGGCAUGCUGGACUCCAAGGAGUACCUGCCCAUGUCCAUCUUCUGGCAGGUGCCGCAGUACUUCAUCGUGGGGGCGGCGGAGGUGUUCACGUUCGUGGGGCAGAUCGAGUUCUUCUACGACCAGUCGCCGGACGCCAUGAGGAGCAUGGGGUCGGCGCUGUCGCUCACGUCCAACGCGCUGGGCAACUACCUGAGCACGCUGCUGGUGGUGAUCGUGACGGCCAUCUCGACGAGGAACGGCGGCCUCGGGUGGAUCCCGGAUGACAACCUCAACCGGGGGCACCUCGACUACUUCUACUGGGUGCUGGCCGUGCUCAGCGCCCUCAACUUCAUCGUCUACCUCUGGAUAGCAAAGUGGUACAAGUACAAGGCCACAGCACCUCCUGCAGCAGCUUCAGUCGUUGCCAUCGACGACACCAAUUAG
rnacentral:rRNA from 1 species